rnacentral:piRNA from 1 species
UUCCCUCUUUAAAAUCCUCUAGGUGAC